GCAAGUCGAACGAAACCUUUCGGGGUUUAGUGGCGGACGGGUGAGUAACGCGUGAGGAUCUGCCUAUAGGACGGGGAAAACAGUGGGAAACUGCUGCUAAAACCCGAUGUGCCGAGAGGUGAAAUAUUUAUAGCCUGUAGAUGAGCUCGCGUCUGAUUAGCUAGUUGGUGGGGUAAGAGCUUACCAAGGCGACGAUCAGUAGCUGGUCUGAGAGGACGAUC
rnacentral:rRNA from 1 species